rnacentral:tRNA from 1 species
GGAGAGGUGGCCGAGAGGUCUAAGGCAGCGGUUUGCUAAACCGUAGUACGAAUAAAAUCGUACCGAGGGUUCGAAUCCCUCUCUCUCCG